rnacentral:rRNA from 1 species
GACGAACGCUGGCGGCGUGCUUAACACAUGCAAGUCGAACGGAAAGGCCCUGCGUUUGUUGGUCUCUCGAUUGGCGAACGGGUGAGUAACACGUGUGUAACCUGCCCCUGACUUUCUGAUAACAUCAGGAAACUGGGGCUAAUAUCGGGUAUGAUCUCCUGCUGCGUGUGGGUCGUUGGAAAGUGUCGGCUGUUGUGGCUGGACUCGCUGCUUAUCAGCUUGUUUGGCGGGUAGUUGCUUUCCAAGGCUUUGACGGGUAGCCGGCCUGAGAGGGUGAACGGCCACCAUGGGACUGAGAUACGGAGCAGACUGCUACGGGCCGCAGCAGUGGAGAAUCUUGCAGAAUGGGCGGAAGCCUGAUGUAGCAGCGCUGCGAGCGGGAUGCCGGCUUUCGGGUUGUAAACAGAUUUCGAAUUUGCCGAAGAGUGAGUGACGGUACUGGAUAAAGAAGCACCGGCUAACUACGUG